UGCGUAGGCGGUCGUUUAAGUAGGGUGUGAAAUCCCCCGGCUCAACCGGGGAACUGCGCUCUAAACUGGACGGCUUGAGUAAGAUAGGGGUGUGCGGAACUUCCGGUGGAGCGGUGAAAUGUGUUGAUAUCGGAAGGAACACCAGUAGCGAAAGCGGCACACUGGGUCUUAACUGACGCUGAGGCACGAAAGCUAGGGUAGCGAACG
rnacentral:rRNA from 1 species